UAGAACACCUUGUAAACUCAAGCAUUCAUACAAGUUGGUUGAACUCACUGGAGUAUAGUUUUAUGAUUUAAUACUAAGCAGUUUGCAUUAUUUUUCUUACAAGUGAUCGUAUAAUACUGUGUAGUAAUCCAUGAGAUUUCAAGUUUAGGUGUUAUUUGUAACUUUUUUUUGUUUCCUUUCUUUAAAUCAGUACAUGCUUGAUCUUCAAUUUUCUUUUUGAAAAUUGCUCCCAAUUUCCUCAUCACUGGCC
rnacentral:lncRNA from 1 species